CUACGGGACGCAGCAGUGGGGAAUAUUGCACAAUGGAGGAAACUCUGAUGCAGCGACGCCGCGUGGAGGAUGACACUUUUCGGAGCGUAAACUCCUUUUAUAUAGGAAGAAGAUGACGGUACUAUAUGAAUAAGCGCCGGCUAACUCCGUGCCAGCAGCCGCGGUAAUACGGAGGGCGCAAGCGUUACUCGGAAUCACUGGGCGUAAAGAGCGUGUAGGCGGAUUAAAAAGUCAGAAGUGAAAUCCUAUAGCUUAACUAUAGAACUGCUUCUGAAACUCUUAAUCUAGAAUGUGGGAGAGGUAGAUGGAAUUUCUGGUGUAGGGGUAAAAUCCGUAGAGAUCAGAAGGAAUACCGAUUGCGAAGGCGAUCUACUAGAACAUUAUUGACGCUGAGACGCGAAAGCGUGGGGAGCAAACAGGAUUAGAUACCCCCGUAGUC
rnacentral:rRNA from 1 species